GAUGAAAUCACUUAAAGGCACAUUUCUCAAAAUGUAUCCUCAUUGUUAGGGGAUAGUCAUAACAAACCAGCCAUGUCUCCUACUUUCAUGAUGCUUAAGGUUAACAGAAAAAAUAUAAGUAACAAGUAAAUAGCUUAUAUUAGUGCUUUGAAAGAAAAGAAGAGGAGAUCAUGGGAGAGAUUAAGGAGGAGGACAUGCUUCAGAAUAGGAGAUUAAGAGCAGUGGCUUUGUUUUCUGGCUCUGUAAGACUAUUAAGCUACAGGAAGGACUUUACUUUUAGAGCAUAAGAAAAUAAGAAAGAAAGGGAAAGAAAACAAGCUAAAGAUGACUGAGCGAUUAUAAGAAACAAAGCUGCUGGUAUCAGAAGAGACAAAAGGGCAAGGGAUAGUGAACCUUGCAUACCCAUAAAUUGGAUAAUCCAUUCUAAUCUAAAAAUCAACAUCAUUAAAUAGUUUUUCAGGUAUGUAUUCUUAUUCAUAAUCUAAUUGUUUUUAAACUUUGAUUCCACUUGGAAAAUUUUAAUUUGUUUCCAAGUUUU
rnacentral:lncRNA from 1 species